UACGAAGGGUGCAAACGUUGCUCGGAAUUAUUGGGCGUAAAGAGCUCGUAGGCGGCUUGUCACGUCGGGUGUGAAAGACCGGGGCUUAACCCCGGUUCUGCAUUCGAUACGGGCUAGCUAGAGUGUGGUAGGGGAGAUCGGAAUUCCUGGUGUAGCGGUGAAAUGCGCAGAUAUCAGGAGGAACACCGGUGGCGAAGGCGGAUCUCUGGGCCAUUACUGACGCUGAGGAGCGAAAGCGUGGGGAGCGAACAGG
rnacentral:rRNA from 1 species